rnacentral:rRNA from 1 species
ACCUAAAGUAAUCUCGAUUCACAUAAAUCCCCAUACCACUUUAGAGCAAUUCAAAUGAGGUACAGCCCAUUUGAUACAGGAUACAACCUUAACUAACGGGUAACAUUAAAUCUACACCUUCAAGUAGGCCUAAAAGCAGCCACCAUUAAAAGCGUCAAAGCUUAAUCAUGUUUUCAUCAAUUUAAAAUCCCCCAUUGACCCCUUUAACUUUACUGAGAAUUUCUAUAUCGUAUAGAACAUUUUAUGCUAAAACUAGUAACAAGAGAAAACCCUCUCCCAAUGCAAACAAAAGCCAGCAAGAACCCAUCACUGGCAACUAACAGACCUAAACAAAAGUAACAAAAUCACUAGAAAACCCUACUUCUCACAACUGUUAACCUAACACUAGAGCAUUUCAGGGAAGAUUAAAAGAAAAAGAAGGAACUCGGCAAACACUAAUCCCGCCUGUUUACCAAAAACAUCGCCUCUUGUCCCUAUAAGAGGUCAAGCCUGCCCAGUGACUUUGUUCAACGGCCGCGGUAUCCUAACCGUGCGAAGGUAGCGUAAUCACUUGUUUUCUAAAUAAAGACCAGUAUGAAAGGCAUCACGAGGAUUAAACUGUCUCCUUUUUCCAAUCAGUGAACCUAAUCUCCCCGUGAAGAAGCGGGGAUUAUUUUAUAAGACGAGAAGACCCUAUGGAACUUAAAACAUUAUUACACCUGCCACCAAACUCAACUACUCAGAUAUCUCCCCAAAUGGCACUUUGAUUUUAUGUUUUCGGUUGGGGUGACCGCGGAGAAAAACUGAUCCUCCACGAUGAAGGGGGGACUCCCCCUAAACAAUAAGCUACAUCUUUAUGUAUCAAUAAAUUGACAUCCAUUGACCCAAUGACUUGAUUAACGAACCAAGUUACCCUAGGGAUAACAGCGCAAUCCACUUUAAGAGCCCCUAUCGACAAGUGGGCUUACGACCUCGAUGUUGGAUCGGGGUACCCCGGUGGUGUAGUCGCUACUAAAGGUUCGUUUGUUCAACGAUUAAAACCCCACGUGAUCUGAGUUCAGACCGGAGCAAUCCAGGUCAGUUUCUAUCUAUAAAAGAGCUCUUUUCAGUACGAAAGGACCAAAAUAGCAUGGCCAAUACCCCCACAAGCCAUAGUUAAUCAUUUUAGAUCCCCACUCAAAAAAUUAUUAACCUUACCUUACACCUCAAAAAAAGAACA